rnacentral:rRNA from 1 species
UACGGAGGGUGCAAACGUUGCUCGGAAUCAUUGGGCGUAAAGCGCACGUAGGCGGCUUGUUAAGUCGGGUGUGAAAUCCCUGGGCUCAACCCAGGAAGUGCACUCGAAACUGGCGAGCUUGAAUAUGGAAGAGGGUCGCGGAAUUCCCGGUGUAGAGGUGAAAUUCGUAGAUAUCGGGAGGAACACCAGUGGCGAAGGCGGCCAACUGGCCCGAUACUGACGCUGAGGCGCGAAAGCCAGGGGAGCAAACGGG